UUAUCUUGUUGGAACACGCUGGGAGUGAAGAAAACGUUGAGAAAGUCAAACGGAAUUUCUUUUUGAAGAUUUACGCGUCGAUGUGGAGUUGUAUUACGUUCUGCAGUCUUUGCUCAAUGUUUUUGUGUGCUGCUAGUUGUACACAGACAUGUCGGCUGUUUACUGUGAUGUUUUGUGAUAAAAUUAUCAAGGAGAAUAUUGAUAUUCCAUUGAAUUUAGCGCAAAAUCAAGUGCAGUUUACGAUUGGGUCUAAAAGUACGAUGAAUAUUGAACUUUUAUUUAAGAUUUUGGGUGCAAUUGUUACUAAUUUGGUGAUAUUAACACAAUUUAGCAAGCAGGUUUAGUGUGGAUUACUUUUGGGUUGUGUGAUUAACCCAAUUAGUAUCAUAAUCUUAUUAAAAUUGAUUUAAUUCGCUUUGUAAGUAAGCAUUUCCUUGUUAGUUGGGAUAAUUUUAAAUUGACCGCAUUGGGUGUAAUUAGCGCCAACUGGCGGUGAAUGUUGGAACUAAAACAUUUGGUAUUUAUUGACACACUCAAUUCGUACUUUCA